rnacentral:tRNA from 1 species
GCGUAGCUCAGUUGGCAGAGCAUCCGACUGUUAAUCGGACGGUCGCUGGUUCAAGC